CACGGACUUCGGUCUGGUGGCGAGUGGCGAACGGGUGAGUAACAUAUCGGAACGUAUCCAAUAAUGGGGGAUAACUAAUCGAAAGGUUGGCUAAUACCGCAUACGCCCUACGGGGGAAAGCAGGGGAUCUUCGGACCUUGCGUUAAUGGAGCGGCUGAUAUCUGAUUAGCUAGUUGGUGAGGUAAAGGCUCACCAAGGCGACGAUCAGUAGCUGGUCUGAGAGGACGACCAGCCACACUGGAACUGAGACACGGUCCAGACUCCUACGGGAGGCAGCAGUGGGGAAUUUUGGACAAUGGGCGCAAGCCUGAUCCAGCCAUUCCGCGUGAGUGAAGAGGGCCUUCGGGUUGUAAAGCUCUUUCGCAAGGGAGGAAAACUUACUUUCUAAUAAAGAGCGAGGUUGACGGUACCUUGAUAAGAAGCACCGGCUAACUACGUGCCAGCAGCCGCGGUAAUACGUAGGGUGCGAGCGUUAAUCGGAAUUACUGGGCGUAAAGCGUGCGCAGGCGGCUUUGUAAGUCAGAUGUGAAAUCCCCGAGCUCAACUUGGGAACUGCGUUUGAAACUACAAGGCUAGAAUAUGUCAGAGGGGGGUAGAAUUCCACGUGUAGCAGUGAAAUGCGUAGAGAUGUGGAGGAAUACCAAUGGCGAAGGCAGCCCCCUGGGAUAAUAUUGACGCUCAUGCACGAAGCGUGGGGAGCAAACAGGAUUAGAUACCCUGGUAGUCCACGCCCUAAACGAUGUCUACUAGUUGUUGGUGGAGUAAAAUCCAUGAGUAACGCAGCUAACGCGUGAAGUAGACCGCCUGGGGAGUACGGUCGCAAGAUUAAAACUCAAAUGAAUUGACGGGGGCCCGCACAAGCGGUGGAUUAUGUGGAUUAAUUCGAUGCAACGCGAAAAACCUUACCUGGCCUUGACAUGUA
rnacentral:rRNA from 1 species